rnacentral:rRNA from 1 species
CCCUUAGAUGUUCUGGGCUGCACACGUGCUACACUGGCAGGUUCAGCGAGCUUCAUGCCCUGAUCUGAAAGGAAUGGGAAAUCUUUUCAAAACCUGCCGUGCUUGGGAUAGAUGUUUGCAAUUAUUCAUCUUCAACGAGGAUUGCCUUGUAAGCGCACGUCAUCAGCGUGCAUUGAAUACGACCCUGUAUUCUGUACACACCGCCCGUCGCUCCUACCGAUUGAAGUUUUCGGUGAGUUGACAGGAGGAUUUUUUUGAAACUGGUUCGCCAGUGGAUUUUAGCUCCAAAUGCCAACGAAUCGAUGGCUUUAGAGGAAGGAGAAGUCGUAACA